rnacentral:rRNA from 1 species
GACGUAGGGCGCGAGCGUUGUCCGGAUUUAUUGGGCGUAAAGAGCUCGUAGGCGGCUUGUCGCGUCGUCCGUGAAAACUCACAGCUCAACUGUGAGCUUGCGGGCGAUACGGGCAGGCUAGAGUUCGGUAGGGGAGACUGGAAUUCCUGGUGUAGCGGUGAAAUGCGCAGAUAUCAGGAGGAACACCGGUGGCGAAGGCGGGUCUCUGGGCCGAUACUGACGCUGAGGAGCGAAAGCGUGGGGAGCGAACAGG